CCUGACCACACCCUCCCACUUUUCUAGGCCUCGGACCUCAACCUCGUGGACUACGGAGCGGAGAGGGACACUUCGGGCCACUCGGAGGGUGGCACCGAAGUCAGGCGUCCCCAAGGGCUCUGGCGGAUGGCCAAGUUUGUGUUCUUUCCAUCCCACGCCGGAGUAGCGCUCGCUACUUUGGGGAAGCUUCAGAUUCCUCAACCCCGGCCACGAGGCCACCCCUGUCUUUAAGACCACAUAAGGAACACCAUGAUCCGUGCAUCUGUGCAGCUUGUUCCAGAGUCCCAGCCCUCACCAGCUGUGAGGUCACAUCUCUUGGAAGGCAGUCAUCUACCUCAACCAACAGCUCCGAGAUGCUGGGCAGCGGGACCAUAUCUGCCAUUUGGAGAGCUGCUGCUGGUGCUCUGGGCUGUCCUGCUCCUUCCGGUAGCCAAAGAGAGGAUGCGAUUUUUAAAAAUUCAUAUAUUCAGAUGAAGAAAAUGAAGAUCAGGGCGGCUACGUCACUCGACCAGGAUCGUGCAGCCAGCAAGUUGGGUGCCAGGACUCAAAGCAGGUCUUUCAUGAGAAGAACUCUUGUUUUUUUCUUUUGUCUCUUCCAGUCCCUCCCUCUCUGUCCUCACCCCACCAUCCUCUAUCCCGGAGGUUCUCGACUUGGCCAUAUAUUGACAUCACCUGGGGAGCUUUAAAAACUAAUAUUGCUGUUAGGCCUCCACCCUAGGAAACUGAAUCUCCGGGGUGUGACUUCAGCAUCUGUACUUUUUAUUCCCUCUUCACAGGCAGCCUUACCCAGAUUCCUUUGCGAUUCCAAAUGUUUCUGAUGCAUGCAUUUGCACUAAGGUGUUAGUAACUGGAUGUGUUACCUUUCUCAGGGUGUCUGCAUUUGAAAAAAGAGCCAAGGACAUAAAAUAAUGAAUUGCAUAAGCAUCUUAGCGAGUGGGAGAGACCAGCUUUUGAUCUCCUUUCUCACACUUGCAGCAGAUUUAUUGCCCUCACAUGUCCUGCUAGGAAUCUACCCAGCAGUCUUGGCUGAGAUUUCUGAAUAUGCUGUGGCUUUUUGAGGGGCUUUUUGGGCUAGAAGAACUUGAAUGAAUCAUUUUUGAAUGCCCUUAAGCCAUCAGCCUUGCCCACAGAGGGCAGUCAGUUCAAUUCUAACUAGCAAGCAAAACCAAAAUUAUUCGCCCAAAAUGUUUUUGCUGUUGUUGUUUUUUUUAACCAUUCAAUGAUGAAUCUUCCCCUGUCAGACCUUUCCCAGUGCCCAUCCAAACAUACUCAGGCACAGAAAUUGAGGUGGUACGUAUCUAAACCGUAAGUUAGAGUCAUUUCCCAGAUCCCAAUUCAGUCAAAUUUCAGGAGACCCUUACUGUGGCUAAUUUUAGGACAUGACAAGAUUUUGACGUUGACGCCCCCUUUUAAUUUUUUUAA